rnacentral:lncRNA from 1 species
UCCAUGUUUCCUUCCGCUUCCUCUUCAUGGCAAGGCUUAGCAAUCUGAAAAAUAAAAUAGACUGUUAAUCAGCUUUCCCUUUACCUCUGCAGAAUAAGAGAAAUAAUUGGCUAGAGGAAUGCACAGGAUAUGUAUUAUUCUGAACAACUCGGCAUAGAAAAACCAAUUAGUAAACUUAAUAUGAUAAUUAAUUGUAACUACUUAAAAGCCAGCAUAAAACUUUAAAGAUAUAGAUGAUCGUAUCGAUUCUGUUAAGUAAGCCAGAAUUGCGGGAUAUGGAAAAUGCUUUAAACAGCACUCAACAAGAUGUCGCUGAUUCCUUUCCUGACUUCGUUGAUACUAUAAAGAAACAAAUUCCUGCUCAAGCUUUGAUACUUAGUGUCCAGAACAACUAUGCUAUCUAAAAGCUCCUGGGCCUGAAAUCAAAACUUAGGAUAUUGAGAAAAGAACAUAAAAAUAGAAGACAAACCACGCACAAGUAGGCUGACCUUAUCUAGAAGCUUGCCGGGAGAAUCAGGAGAAGGGGAACCAGAGUGUUCAAAAGAGCUUGCUAGAGAUAAAGGCAAAUCAGUCUCUUCCUGCGACCGCUGCUGCAACUUUUUAACUUGUAUUUUCCAAGUGUUAGCAUGUUGCAUGAGCAUGAGAUAUCAUUCUUGCACAAAGUUGGCUAUUACUGGCCCUCAAAGAAAAAAUUCAAAACUUGAAUAUCAUGGCACAUCAAUAAUCUUCACUAGCAUAUGUGUUACUCUUUAGGAGUAAACCGCGUUGUUCUAGUAACAAAGCUCUCCUAACCACAUCCAUGUUAAUCAUGUUUCUUUUUUCUCCCCCUCACUCAAGUCUACUGCAAUGCCAAUGCUUUUUUACUUCAUUGCUGAAUAAAUCCGAAUCAACUUUCAAUAAGUUUAAGAUUUAUGCCGAUGAGGAAUGCAGUGAUGUAGACCAAAAAAGAGUUCAGUCGCUUAAAGCACAAUCAUCUUGCCUCAGCUUUUAGUGAGAAAGAGAGUCAAGGAGAAUGCACUAAUCAUCACCUAUCCCUUGACUCAUGUUACUCUAAUUUUCUGUUCAUAAUUUUAAUUACCAUGCCUAAUGCACUUCUUUAGAACUUUCCAGACUUGUACAAACUAAAGAAAUUGGAAAUGUGGAAAAAUGAACCUUACAACAGCGACUUAACACUUAACCUGUACAAGCUACUGACCGUUUCUUUCCAAAAGCAUAUAUAAAAAUAGUAUUUUUUUCAUCAAAUAAUAAAAUUUCAGCAAAUAUCAGCCUCAAUCUAUAUUUUGUUUUAAACAACAACAAAAAACUUGAAUUACCUUUUUCACGUUUAAAUUUUUGCAAAUACUUAGGAAAAGAUGUUGCUUCAAACUCCAAAACUCGAAAUCAAACACCCAUCGACGACCACUCCACCCUUUGAUAUUGAAAAUUGAGGAAGCAAAAUAUUCUCUUUAACAUUAAAGAUGAAGCCGUGCGGGGUUGUUUUGCUACUGUGGUCGCAAAAGAGGCAUGGGUUCAAGGAAUCUUGGAAGAUGGCAAAAUCGGAUAUGGUGGGAUGUAGAGAAGGUUGGGAUUCAUUUUGAUUUGGAGUGAAAGAAACGACAGGGUAGAGGCAAAAAGGGGCAUGGG